UAGACCCACAUGGCUACAACCAACACCCUUGUCCUAUAACAUUUGUGGGCAGAAGAAAAAAUGUGGGGAGAAUUAGGUUUUCUUGAAGAGCUUUCCCAUUAAUUCCUCUGUGGAAUUAAGGCCAAACAUCUUUUGUAAUACGAGGUGUCGUUCUUUUUCAGUUUCUGUCAAUCAAUGGAAUGGAAAUGUUCAAUAGGAUAUAAUGGCUACACACACAAAAAAUAUAUGUGAAGAAGGAUCAAUACAGGAUUUCUACCCUAUUCAUCCAGUCUCUAACAAUACCAAAGUUAGGAAUUUGGCACAGCUGCAUACUGUUUUUUCUGCUUGGAAAUCAGGACUUAAUCCAUCAAUACUAAUGGAAGUCAGAAAGGAAGUAUCCCAAAGGACCUAUCCAAUGUAUUAGUGAUGAAAGAGAGAACUUAUGAUAAGAAAACCUUGAAAGGAAGAAGAUUGUGGGAUGCGGAAACCAUAAAACAAAAAAUGCGACGGAGCAACUUUUAGCCAUUCCACACAUUGCUGAUCAGAGGUGCUUCCAACAAUGGCAGAAACGUUGGGAGAAGUGCACAGAUGCAGGAGGAGCAUA